UACAGAGGGUGCGAGCGUUAAUCGGAAUUACUGGGCGUAAAGCGCGCGUAGGCGGCUUUGCAAGUCGGAUGUGAAAUCCCCAGGCUUAACCUGGGAACUGCAUCCGAUACUGGAUGGCUUGAAUCCGGGAGAGGGAUGCAGAAUUCCAGGUGUAGCGGUGAAAUGCGUAGAUAUCUGGAGGAAUACCGGUGGCGAAGGCGGCAUCCUGGACCGGCAUUGACGCUGAUGAGCGAAAGCUAGGGGAGCAAACGGG
rnacentral:rRNA from 1 species